UGGGGAAUAUUGGACAAUGGGCGAAAGCCUGAUCCAGCGACGCCGCGUGAAUGAUGAAGGCCUUCGGGUUGUAAAGUUCUUUUGGCAGGGAAGAUAGUGACGGUACCUGCAGAAUAAGCCCCGGCUAACUCUGUGCCAGCAGCCGCGGUAAGACAGAGGGGGCUAGCGUUGUUCGGAAUCACUGGGCGUAAAGGGCGCGUAGGCGGCUAUGUAAGUCAGAGGUGAAAGCCUGGAGCUCAACUCCAGAAUUGCCUUUGAUACUGCUUAGCUAGAGGCCGAAAGAGGGUGGUGGAAUUCCUAGUGUAGAGGUGAAAUUCGUAGAUAUUAGGAGGAACACCGAUGGCGAAGGCAGCCACCUGGUUCGGUACUGACGCUGAGGCGCGAAAGCGUGGGGAGCAAA
rnacentral:rRNA from 1 species